UACGUAGGGUCCGAGCGUUGUCCGGAAUCAUUGGGCGUAAAGCGCACGUAGGCGGCCCGAUAAGUCCGUUGUGAAAGUCAGAGGCUCAACCUCUGGAGGCCAAUGGAUACUGUCGGGCUAGAGUCCGGAAGAGGCGAGUGGAAUUCCUGGUGUAGCGGUGGAAUGCGCAGAUAUCAGGAGGAACACCAAUGGCGAAGGCAGCUCGCUGGGACGGUACUGACGCUGAGGUGCGAAAGCGUGGGAGCGAACAGG
rnacentral:rRNA from 1 species